ACGCAAGAGAUCAGGAUGGAGAAAGCAGCUUGCCGGAGAACACGUGAAUGGCUCCAUGUGGUCUGCAAGUCAGUGGCUGCUGCUUCUGUCCUCUGCUGCUGCUUGCCUGGGAGAGAAAAACUUCCAGAGCAUUAACCAAAGAAUCCCUGGAGGAAUGACAAUUCCUGUAUUUCUCUGAUCUCCUGUUUGUAGCCUUUGCUGCCUCUACUGUGCACUGAUGCCCAAAGAUUGACUAUAAACAGCAAGACAGCCAGUUCAAUGUAAUGAUUAAGGCACCAGGCUAGAAACUGGGAGUGACUGCCAGGCUCGCUUUAGGCACAAAGCCAGCUAGGAUUUGGGCCAGUCUCUUUCUCUCAACCCUAGGAAGGAGGCAAUAGCAAAUCACUUCAAAAAAUCCUUGCCAAGAAAACUGCAGGAAUGUCCAAGCUGCCUCUGAUAAUGUCUGAUAAUUGGACAUGAUUGGACAGAAGAAAAAAGUAAAGGAACCAGUAGAAUAACAGAAGUUAAGAAAGCCAGGAAAUAAACCACAGACUACUUGGGAGAUUAGCUUGAAGACUUUGGAAAUUCAAAUGUCAGGAUGAUCAGAUUCAUGUAGGCAACAGUUUCCACUGUAGCACUCUAUGGAAAUGGAAGUUGGAUGCUGAAAAAGCAGGAUAGAAAGGAUAUUGACCCUUUGGACUUUGAUGCUGGAGAAGUCUCUUGGGAAUACCAUGAGCAGCUAAGAAAACAAUAAAUGAAUAAUUGAACAAAUCAGCCCAGGACACAAAUCACCUAUUAUGGCAUGAUGCCAACUUCUGAUAUUGAUACAGUAUGUGUUAGCACACUACUAUAGAUGAUAUCACAAGAAAGACUGGUGAUGGGAGUGGGGUGUCCUUGUGUGUCAAAUUUUGAUGGCAACAGAGAAUUGGGAGUGUUGAGAACAGCAAAGAAGGAGCAAAUGUGUGCUAUAUUCAAAAUACUGUGUCAUUCAAGCCCCCAGCACCAAUUUCUACACAGUUUGUUACGCUUUGUCUUUUCAUAAGGUUCUGAAAUGUAAUCCUAUUCUGUUUUUUAAGAAUGUUCACAAUAAAUAAGGGUAGAAUGCUUAGCCUGAUUCUUGCAUAUCUCUUCUUAGUCCUAGGUCAAUCAUUAUUUUCAGUGUCAUAAGUUCCAUUGGAUUUCUAUGAAUUUACAGUAGAAAAGAAAUAACUGUAUACACUGGGGUGCAUUGUAAGAUAUACUGAAUAGCAAAAUUGUGGAAUACGUUAAGGGGGAGGUUGUACAGGGGUUCAGGGCAGUCUGGCAGGAUGAACAAGUAAGAGCAGGUAUGUGACAGUGCACAACAGGUGCCAGACAGGUCCAGGAGAUUGCAACUCCCAUCUCCUAAAUGCAACUCCUAUCUGAGAUGUUAAGAUCCAGAGGAAGAACUCUGGCUCCCAAUGAUAUUUCGGUACUGAUAAAGUUCCCAUGGUUCCCAUGCAGCCAGGUGCUGGGCAAAGCAAACUAUGGAGGUACAGGACCCAGCUGUUGUGGCUCCAUUGCCUGAGCCUGGGCUAUCGACAGAUGCAGACUCUGAGAGUGAGGGGGAGGAGUUGGCAAGGCCUCCCUCUCCAGGACUCUCCUCUCCGGCAAUGCCUCUGGAGGACACCGAAGGCCAAAUGAUAGGCUCAGAGCCAAGCACGUCCCCGUAGCCACAGGUGGACAGCGACGAGGAAGAUAAGUGCUGGCUGGACCCUCGACAGAGGCGCAGGGAGAAGCGUGCACAGCAGAGGGGAAGGCAUGCCAGAGAGCAGCUGAGUCACUGGACCACACCCCACAGGGUAUAAAUGUGGGUGUGGUGGCCGGUUCAGUUUGUGACGAGCAAAAACUGGAAAUACUCCAUGAUCUCUGCGUUACUGGACUUUGCCUGCUUUAUUGGACUGCAUUUGGACUAAUCCUUGUAUUAUUGACACUCUGCCUGUUUUAUCGUAAUGCUGCAGUCUAAUCUUUGUUUUGUGUGAGUAAAGUCUGAAUUGGCAGCUAGCCACUGGGUUGCUGCCAGCUUUAUCAUCAAAGAGUUUUGUCGUGUGGCUUAUUAACUCCGGGCCAUCUGUGGGUGUGUGUGCGUGGUACGGGGACAGAACACCAGCAGGCAAGAGAAACUAGGAUAAGAAAAGCAGUCCAGUAGGCAGGCAUCAGGGGACAUCAUCUUGGAUAGUGUAGUUCUGCUGUUUCUUAUACUGGAGAGAAGUAACUAAUGACAUAUAAACUGAAAUCCUGCUUAACUUCCUGGAAGCACUAGAGCUUUGCCAAUUAUUUUCUAAAAAAGAAAGGAACAGAUUUAGAAAAAAAUUGUAAUUGCUCAGUGUUGAGUUGAUUAUUGAAUCUCUAACAUUUAAGUGUUUUGAUUCCAAUUUUGUCAGGCAAAAGCUCUAGCAGCGAUUUGACAUUU